rnacentral:rRNA from 1 species
AUUGAACGCUGGCGGCAGGCCUAACACAUGCAAGUCGACCGAGUGGCGGACGGGUGAGUAAUGUCUGGGGACCUGCCUGAUGGAGGGGGAUAACUACUGGAAACGGUAGCUAAUACCGCAUACCCUCAGAUGUGCCCAUAGGGGAUUAGCUUGUUGGUGGGGUAACGGCUCACCUAGGCGACGCUCCCUAGCUGGUCUUAGAGGAUGACCAGCCACACUGGAACUGAGACACGGCCCAGACUCCUACGUGAGGCAGCAGUGGGGAAUAUUGCACAAUGGGCGCAAGCCUGAUGCAGCCAUGCCGCGUGUAUGAAGAAGGCCCUAGGGUUGUAAAGUACUUUCAGUGGGGAGGCGUUACCCGCAGAAGAAGCACCGGCUAACUCCGUGUCAGCAGCCGCGGUAAUUC